CGGAGGCUCAGGAGCAUCGAGGUCAGGUUGCGGGUGGCCGCCGCUUUUUCCAGACGUCCGGGGAGGAGGUUCCACCUGCAUCCGGAGCAGGCUUUCCUCACCAACCGGGCCGGAGAGCCGAGCGGAGCGCAGGGGACCGAGUUGGAAGAGGGACAGACGCGUCUGCAUCUGGCUACACUAUACCUCACCCUUCAAGGUAAUAUGGUUAAAACAUCUGGACACUGAGCAGGAUUGUUUGGCUUCAAAUGAGAAAGAAAUGCCACUAGACUGCUGUUGGCUUACUAAAGGGAUUCAUUAGAUGGCAGAGGAGGGCUGGAAGACACCAUUGCCUGCUGGUAUGAUUGAACUUUGACCUUUGCUGCUGUGUUCUGUUUGUUUGACUGGUAUAGGGAAAAUGCUGGCCUCAUAACAAGAAAUUGAAAGUGUCCCCUCUUCUUUAAUUUUUUGGAAGUUUGAGGACUAGUGUUAAUUCUUUAUUUUUUUUUUAAUUUAAACUCUGCCCAAUGUGGGGCUUGAACUCACGACCCUGAGAUCAAGCAUUGCAUGCUCUACCAAUUGAGCCAGCCAGGCACCCCUAAUUCUUCUGUAAAUGAUUGGUAGAAUUCACCUGUGAAACCAUCUGGUCAUGGGCUUUCCUUUGCUGGGAGGUGUUUGCUUCUUGGUUCAGUUUCUCAUUCAUUACUAGUCUGUUCACAAUUUCUAUUUCUUCAUGAUUCAAUCUUUGUAGGUUGUAUGUUUCUAAGAAUUUAACCUUUUCUUCUAGGUUGUCCAAUUUAUUGGCAUAUAAUUUUUCAUAUUAAUCUCUUCCAGCCUUUGUAUUUCUGUGAUGUCACUUGUAAUGUCUCCUCUUUCAUUUAUAAUUUUAUUUAUUUGAAUCCUGUCUCUUUUUCUUGGUAAGCCUAGCUAAAGACUUGUCAAUUUUGUUUAUCUUUUAAAAAAACAACUCUUAUUUUCAUUGAUCUUUUCUAUUGUUUUCCUUUUCUUUAUUUCAUUUAUGUCUGCUCUGAUUUUUGUUAUCUCCUUCCUUCUACUAACUUUGGGCUUAGUUUGUUCCUCCUUACAUAGUACCUUGAGAUGUAAAGUAAUAUUGUUGAUUUGAGGUCUUUCUUUUUUUCUUAAUGUAGGCAUUUAUUGCUAUAAAAUUCCCUCUUAUACCCGCAUUUGCUUCAUCCCAUAAGUUUUGGCGGGCUGUGUUUUCAUUUUUGUUUCAAGAUAUUUUUUAUAUAUGGUAAAGCUAGGGUUUGUUAUUACCAGGUUAUACUUCUGGCUGCAAUAUAAAUUGCUAUUUUUUGGAGGCA
rnacentral:lncRNA from 1 species